rnacentral:rRNA from 1 species
AAAUUUUUUAUAACCACAUGCCCUUUGCGCUGGAGAGUGGUUCAUUAAAUUUUUCCCCCCCCAUCAACUUACGAUGGUAGGAUAGCGCCCUCCCAGGUUCUCAACGGGUAGCGGGGAAUAGGGGUUCGAUUCCGGAGAGGGAGCCUGAGAAACGGCUACCACAUCCAAGGAAGGCAGCAGGCGCGCAAAUUACCCAAUCCCGACACGGGGAGGUAGUGACAAUAAAUAACGAUACAGGGCCCUUUCGGGUCUUGUAAUUGGAAUGAGUACAAUGUAAAUACCUUAACGAGGAACAAUUGGAGGGCAAGUCUGGUGCCAGCAGCCGCGGUAAUUCCAGCUCCAAAAGCGUAUAUUAAAGUUGUUGCAGUUAAAAAGCUCGUAGUUGAACCUUGGGCUUGGUUGGCCGGUCCAUCUUUCUGAUGCGUACUGGACCCAACCGAGCCUUUCCUUCUGGCUAGCCUUUUGGCGAACCAGGACUUUUACUUUGAAAAAAUUAGAGUGUUCAAAGCAGGCCUUUGCUCGAAUAUAUUAGCAUGGAAUAAUAGAAUAGGACGUUAUGGUUCUAUUUUGUUGGUUUCUAGGACCAUCGUAAUGAUAAUAGGGACGUCGGGGGUAGAAGG